GAUGAACGCUGGCGGCGUGCCUAAUACAUGCAAGUCGAGCGAACAGACGAGGAGCUUGCUCCUCUGACGUUAGCGGCGGACGGGUGAGUAACACGUGGAUAACCUACCUAUAAGACUGGGAUAACUUCGGGAAACCGGAGCUAAUACCGGAUAAUAUAUUGAACCGCAUGGUUCAAUAGUGAAAGACGGUUUUGCUGUCACUUAUAGAUGGAUCCGCGCCGCAUUAGCUAGUUGGUAAGGUAACGGCUUACCAAGGCAACGAUGCGUAGCCGACCUGAGAGGGUGAUCGGCCACACUGGAACUGAGACACGGUCCAGACUCCUACGGGAGGCAGCAGUAGGGAAUCUUCCGCAAGGGGCGAAAGCCUGACGGAGCAACGCCGCGUGAGUGAUGAAGGUCUUCGGAUCGUAAAACGCUGUUAUUAGGGAAGAACAAAUGUGUAAGUAACGAUGCACGUCUUGACGGUACCGAAUCAGAAAGCCACGGCUAACUACGU
rnacentral:rRNA from 1 species